UUAAGCAAAGAAGAGCACAGGGAGGAUGCCUUGGCACUAAGAGCCGAAGAAAGACGUGAUAAGCUGCGAAAAGCCGUGGGGAGCCGCAAAUGGGCUGUGAUCCAUGGAUCUCUGAAUGGGGAAACCCGGCUGAGAAGCCCUCAGUCACCAUGCCAUGAAAAGGAGGCAACUCCCCAUAGUGGUAUGGAGGGAACCCGGUGAACUGAAACAUCUAAGUAGCCGGAGGAAAAGAAAACAAAAAGCUGUCCGCAAGGACAGGAAGUGAUACCGGAAGUAGCGGCGAGCGAAACCGGCAGAGCCCAAACCGGCAUGCGAGCAUGCCGGGGUUCGGACUGCAUCAAUUGACCGAAGCGCCCAGGAGAAUGGUUCUGGGAAGACCAGCCAGAGAGGGUGAAAGCCCCGUAAACGAAAGGCGAGUCGGCAAGGCAGGAUCCAGAGUACCACGAGACACGAGAAACCUUGUGGGAAUGAGCGGGGACCACCCCGUAAGGCUAAAUACUCCUUAGUGACCGAUAGAGCAGAGUACUGUGAAGGAAAGGUGAAAAGGACCCCGGGAGGGGAGUGAAAGAGAACCUGAAUCCCUGUGUUUACAAGCUGUCGAACCACCAUAGGAGUGGAACGGCGUACUUUUUGUAGAACGGUCCGGCGAGUUGUCCGUACUGGCAAGGUUAAGGCGUUUAGCGCUGAAGCCGAAGGGAAACCGAGUGUUAACAGCACGAGAAAGUCAGUAAGGGCAGACCCGAAACCGGGUGAUCUACCCAUGUCCAGGAUGAAGUUGCCGUAAAAGGCAAUGGAGGUCCGAACGCACAUCCGUUGAAAAGGGUGGCGAUGAGGUGUGGGUAGGGGAGAAAUUCCAAUCGAACCCGGAGAUAGCUGGUUCUCCUCGAAAUAGCUUUAGGGCUAGCCUCGUAUAAGCCUGCCGGAGGUAGAGCACUGAAUUUCCGCGGGGGCGUCAAAGCUUACCAAAGAAUAUCAAACUCCGAAUGCCGGAGAGGCCAUUAUACGGGAGUCAGACCGCACGAGAUAAGUUGGGCGGUCAAAAGGGAAAGAGCCCAGACCUACAGCUAAGGUCCCAAAGUAUGUGUUAAGUGGAAAAGGAUGUGGGAUUUCAAAGACAACCAGGAUGUUGGCUCAGAAGCAGCCACACAUUAAAAGAGUGCGUAAUAGCUCACUGGUCGAGAGGUCCUGCGCCGAAAAUGUCCGGGGCUGAAACACAGCACCGAAGCUUAGGAAGACAGGCAACUGUCUUGGUAGAGGAGCAUUGCAUACGGAAAGAAGCUGUACCGAUAAGGAGCAGUGGACUGUAUGGAAGAGAGAAUGCCGGAAUGAGUAGCGAGAGGAAGGUGGGAAUCCUUCCGGCCGAAUAUCCAAGGUUUCCAGAGUAAAGCUGAUCUGCUCUGGGUAAGUCGGGGCCUAAGGCGAGGUCGAAGGACGUAGUCGAUGGACAACAGGUGGAGAUUCCUGUACUACAGGUCAUCAGAACUGUGGGGACGCAUGGGGAAAGCAUGAGCCGGGAAAGAGAAAACCGGUACAAGCGAAGGAGGAGGUGUGAAGGAAAAGCCGCACACCAAUCCAAAGGCGUGAUGUGGACCGAACAAGAGUAGGGAAGCAUGUGAGCCCCGUGCCAAGAAAAGCCGCUAUUGUGUGGCCUGUACCCGUACCGUAAACCGACACAGGUGGAUGGGGAGAGAAUCCCAAGGCCGACGGGAGAAGCAUUGUUAAGGAACUCGGCAAAAUGACCCCGUAACUUCGGGAGAAGGGGUGCCUCAGAGAUGAGGCCGCAGAGAAUAGGCUCAAGCAACUGUUUAGCAAAAACACAGGUCUAUGCAAAACCGCAAGGUGAGGUAUAUGGGCUGACGCCUGCCCGGUGCUGGAAGGUUAAGAGGAGACGUCAACAGGAGCUUCGGCUCCUUGUGAAGCGUUGAAUUUAAGCCCCAGUAAACGGCGGCCGUAACUAUAACGGUCCUAAGGUAGCGAAAUUCAUUGUCGGGUAAGUUCCGACCCGCACGAAAGGCGUAAUGAUUUGAGCACUGUCUCGACAAUGCACCCGGUGAAAUUGAAGUACCAGUGAAGAUGCUGGUUACCUGCGCCAGGACGGAAAGACCCCAUGGAGCUUUACUCCAGCUUGAUACUGGGAUCCGAUGCUGUAUGUACAGGAUAGGCGGGAGGCUUUGAAGAGAGGACGCCAGUUCUCUUGGAGCCGCUGUUGGGAUACCGCCCUUGCAGUAUUGGGUUUCUAACCUGCAGCCGUGACCCGGCUGGGGGACAAUGUCUGGCGGGGAGUUUGACUGGGGCGGUCGCCUCCGAAAGGGUAUCGGAGGCGCUCAAAGGUUCCCUCAGAAUGGUCGGAAACCAUUCGAAGAGUGCAAAGGCAGAAGGGAGCUUGACUGUGACACCGACGGGUGGAGCAGGUACGAAAGUAGGACUUAGUGAUCCGGUGGUAUAAAGUGGGAUUGCCAUCGCUCAACGGAUAAAAGCUACCCUGGGGAUAACAGGCUUAUCACUCCCAAGAGUUCACAUCGACGGAGUGGUUUGGCACCUCGAUGUCGGCUCAUCGCAUCCUGGGGCUGUAGCAGGUCCCAAGGGUUGGGCUGUUCGCCCAUUAAAGCGGUACGCGAGCUGGGUUCAGAACGUCGUGAGACAGUUCGGUCCCUAUCCGGCGCAGGCGAAGGAUAUUUGAGAGGAGCUGUCCUUAGUACGAGAGGACCGGGAUGGACGGACCGCUGGUGUAUCUGUUAGGAAUCAAUCCUAUGGCAGAGUAGCCAAGUCCGGAAGGGAUAAACGCUGAAGGCAUCUAAGCGUGAAGCCCCCCUCAAGAUGAGAUAUCCAAAGCUCUCCCGCAAGGGAGAGGUUGAGACCCCUUGGAGAGUACGAGGUAGAUAGGAGUGAGGUGGAAGCGCAGCAAUGUGUGGAGCUGACACUUACUAAUCGGUCGAGAGCUUAA
rnacentral:rRNA from 1 species